GAAUUUUGGGUAUUGGAUAUUUUUUUUCAUGGGUUUUCUCCUUGGGGAAAAGGGACAAAUGUAUUUAACCCCCAUUGAGUUUUUCAGUGUUAGUUAUGUUUAGGUUUUUCCCAAGUGUUAAAGGGCACCCCCAGCAUUACCUGACACAGAAAAAUCUCUGUGCCAACAAGCCAGGCUUGAAAUAAUAGAUUAAUUAUGGGAAAAGAGAACAGGGCUUGGAGAGGGUGACAGGUUGGGAUCCAGCCAUGCCUUUGGUCCCUUUAUCCACCUUGAACUCCUCAUGCUCUCGAUUGGAUCACUCCAAAUUCCUCCCAAAUUCCUUCCUGCUCCUGGAGCUCCUGGCUCCCUUUCCUGCCCCUAUUUCCAGCCCAGAGCUGCUGCAAUAAAUGAUGACAGUCACUCCAGAGUGAGAUUCCCACUUCCCCUCACCCUUCAUUGGAUUUUUCAGCCUCGAUUCCUCAGCUCCUCUUUCCUCCAGCUCAUUUACACCAUCUCAGCUGCAACAAAUGGGCACUUUAUUAUCUGCAAUUGGCCCUGCCAGAGGACUGGGGUCGUUCUUGUGCUGGCUCUGAGCUCUGGUGGGUUCUUUUUUUCCCCCUCUCGGAAUGAUGUUUCAAGCCCUUCCCCGGGUGAGUAGAGAGAGAGAGAACAUUUGUUAUCGAUAGAAUUUCCAUUUAAAUUGAGGAUGUUGCUCAGUGCAACACGUGCUCGACCAAACUCUUUCCCCCUCAGCGAAUACAGCGAAUUAUAUGAGGGGGGAAAAAGAAAAUCAUGCUGGGGAGAGGAGGAGCGGGAGGGGAGGGGAGUGAAAGGGAGAAAUCACAAAAGCUGCUGUGAAAUCCAGCUGGGAACACGCCUGUAAUGAGACAUCUCGAUCUUAAUAAGGCUGUGGGCAAAGCUUGGAUCCCGCACCCAGCUCUGCGCUGCUCGGCAGCUGCUUCCCCCGACAGCUCCUUUCUGUGCUCGCCAAUCCGAUUAACUCUGCGAAACGAGAGACAAAACAGCCUGGAAAUCCGGGCUUUUAGAAAAUCGGCAGGAAUUCAGCCCCGUGGAGGGGGCUGGAUGGGCCCCAGCAAAGCCUUUUCCGCAGUGGGGAAUGGCUCUGUGGCACUGCUGUUUUCAGGUGGGUUCGCUUUGAGCCACAGAGGGCUGGAAACCAAAGGGAGGGAUCCCAAAGCAAUUGGGAAAUCCGUCCUGACGGAGCCUGGGCGUUCUCCCCAUCCCUGGGGAGCUCUGGAGCAGGGAGAGGAGGAGGAAUUGAGGCUCCUCCAUGAUUUCACUCCACCAGCUCUGGGGUGAUGCUGAUUGAGGGGAUCCUUGUGGGAUACUGGUGAAAACCAGGGAAAAAGCAACCUUGGGUUUUCUCAAGCUGCUCAAGGAAAACAUGAUGGGAAGAAUUGUAACCCUGAUUAAGCACCUGCUGGAUGCAUGAGAGACGUGAUGUUUUCAAAUCACGUUUACCAGGGGUUUCACCUUCCUUGCAUCAGUGAAAUCACUUCCGUCCUCAGUUCCACGAUCUAGUCUACAAAAGUCUC
rnacentral:lncRNA from 12 species